GAUAUUGAGCGUCGCCGCCAUAUUCGACUGCAUCUGCGCAUAGGUGCCGGGUAUCGGCAU
rnacentral:sRNA from 1 species